rnacentral:rRNA from 1 species
UACAGAGGUCUCAAGCGUUGCUCGGAAUCACUGGGCGUAAAGGGUGCGUAGGCGGGUCUUUAAGUCAGGGGUGAAAUCCUGGAGCUCAACUCCAGAACUGCCUUUGAUACUGAAGAUCUUGAGUUCGGGAGAGGUGAGUGGAACUGCGAGUGUAGAGGUGAAAUUCGUAGAUAUUCGCAAGAACACCAGUGGCGAAGGCGGCUCACUGGCCCGAUAACUGACGCUGAGGCA